rnacentral:lncRNA from 1 species
GGGUCGGGCUACGGUAAUUGAGUUAUAAGCCGGGUAGAUUAAAUUGGGGUGAGAGGAGUUGUCACGUGGUCCUCCGUAAAAAAUAAGAGCAAAUAUGACUCGUAGUAUAAUGAUAGGGUCUGAAAGAGCAAAAUAGUAUAACUAAGGUUAGUUUAAACAAUUUUUAAUAGAAAAGGAAUAUAUUUGACCAUUUUCCAAAAAAAUACAGAUGGAUGACUCCACUGGUAAAGAAAUUCGAUAUCCAAUAGAAUUGGUUACGUACUUGUAUAAUUUCUAAUUUCCCGAGAAAGUAUUAAUUAUUAUUAAUUGUAAUCACAAUUUAAUGUUUGUUCUAGAUGUCAUACCUCUUUUUUGCAUCUGAAAGAUAUAUAAGGAAAUUUUUCUAAUUAAAGUGACGUUAUUCGAAAUGAGAUUAUUUAUUCAACUUUAUUCAGAGUCGUCACUUGGGAUAGUUUAUUUGAUGUGCCAAGUCACCGGUUUAUUUUUAAAUCCUAGAUCGAGGAAAUUUAACUUUUCUUUUGAAGUAUACGAACCAGAAAUUCUAAAUAAGAAAUUUUAUUAACCCGAGGGAAGAUGUUAGGCACUCUCGAAUUUCAUGAUUCUAGCACGAUUGUUUAAACUAUUUUAAUUGGCCUAUUAUAUGAUUUUUAAUACAUGUUUUAGCCUAUGGUAUAAUUUUAACUUAUUAACCGCUUUUUAAUUAUUUUUAGGAAGAUUCGAUGUUAUCUAACACACAUCUUAAAUCACGCCAAUGAAAUGCACCCACAGUCCACAUCACAUUUUAUUUAACUUUAUUGAGAUUUGGAUUUUGGUCACAUGAAAUGUACACCCGAGUUUAAGGAAGUUAAUUUAAAUUAAGCAUCUGAAGCAAUUACGCACUUUUAAGUUUGCGCAGGCCAUGAAAAAUUUGGCUAAAUGGCACACCUUGAUUUCUAAAAGAAUAAAUUAAUUGAGGGCCAUGAGUUUUAAAAUUUUAUUUGGCAUGACACGCCUCAAAUUAUUAAAGGUUCUAAUUAAUUUAUUGAAAGGCCAAGGGAAUUUCAAAUUUAUUCUUUUAUGGGGGCUACUAUUUAAACUCUACAAACGAUCAGCUAACAAUUGAGGAAUCAAGCUGAUGUUGAGGGGUUCUGGGCUCGCAAUUGAGCCCAAAGCAAAAGAAGAACCAAAUUUGUUCUCUCUAGGCCUUACAAAAAAUAGACCAUUUCAUACGGCCCAAACCGUCUCUGUAUUUAAGCUAAACAUUUAAGGUUUGCCCAUAGCAAUUUUUUAACAUUCAAAUUGUUUUAAAUAUACAAAUUGCAAAGAAAGAAUGUGAUACCAAAACUGAAAAUGGCUAUACAGAAUUACCUAUAUUACCAUUAACGAGACACCCAAAUUUUGGAUAUGAGUUAUGCUAAUCAAUCACAACAACUCAAGAUCACACAGAAAUCUGUUGUUUAAGAAGGAGAAACUUUAACUAACUUCGGUUUUUUAAAAGCAAACAAACUAAAACGACAUCAAAGAAUGCAUUUACUAAUACCUAUAAACUCCAAGCCCUUGAAGAAUGAAAGAAUGCUAACUUAUUAAGGUUUGAAACCCAGUCUUUUCAACAGAAUUCCUAACAUCAAGGCUUAAUGCUUUUACCCCUGUUAUUUACAAACCAAACAUCAGAUUCUGAUGUUAUUUAAACCAAAAUUAUAACAAAACAAAUCAUAAAGGUUUACUUAGAACAGAGCGCCACCAUACAGCUCACAUGUUAUUCAACUAAGUUAUGUCCAUAUCCCAACAGUCCAAAGUUAAAUACAAUAGCAAGAAUUCAAUUAUUAAAACCAAAAAUAAACUAGCAAAUACAGUAAAUCUGGAAAUAAAACACAAUAUAUUUUAGAGAAAUACAACUGAACUAUUAACAGAUAACUUGAUGUUAUGCUCUUAACUCCAUUUUUCAUUUCAUACUUCAAAUUUUGCUUCACAUCUAGUAUAGUUCAAGAAUAAGUACCUGAUUGCAGCAAUCAAAAAUAAGGACAAAUGAGUGUGAAGUCUAGAGGAAACAUCAACAACAGAACCAACUUAGAAUCCCAACAAUACCAACGUAAACCAACUUCUUAAAACCAAAAGAAAAACUAAAUGAAAACCAGUCUUUGAAGAACCCAAAACUCUGAUUAAAUACGCUUUAAAGCAGAUUUGAAUCAAUUUGAACCAAAGCAAGAAUUCCAGUUUCUUGCAAAGCUUUUCAGACUCCUGCCCUUUUUUAGUUUUUUAAUAUUUUUAAUCUCUAAUUCUGACUUGUUGGUGAAGAAACUAUGCCUUUAUAGGCAAGCCUUACGGCAACAGAAAGUGAAUUCGGUUUAGCUCUUUAAUCAUUUUGAUAUUUUCAUUUUUGCUCCUCUACCCUUAGUUUAAAAUUAGCUUUUUAAGUUAGUCCCUAAACCCACCUUCUAGGAAACUUCCUAAGUUAGUUAUGCAAGAUUCUCUAAGCUAAAAUCCCUAAACUACCCUUAAAACCUCUAUUAUUUACCCUUCUAACCUAAACUAACAAAAUCCUAGGGCUAUUGUUGGGACGGGUAAAAAAUAAACCGAGGGCCCAAAAUUUCCAACUAGCCCAUGAGUAUUCGAAAAUCUGACCUAGACAAAAUAACACUCAAACGAUGGCUCCAAAAGAACAAAAACAAUUUUAAUACUUACUCUGAAAAUAAACUGAAUUAAUUCUGUUCCUUUAACAAAAAUUAUCCAAGAUUAACUCAUGGCUACUGUUUAUAUGAAUUUAAACUGAUUAAAAACAGAAACAGAGGGAAAAGAAAAUGAAAGAAUAAAAUGGAGGAGAAACAGAAACCGGGAAACACACGGACAAGGAAUACCUAAGGUCGGAGACAAACGGACUUGAAAAUAUUGUCCGGCAGCUUCUGAUUUGACCCAAACUGGUAUCAAUCACAUGUUCUCUUUUGAGAACAAAUGAACAAUACUAGUUUCAGGCCCAAUCGUUCAUAGAAACUUGAAGACUUGAAAGAUCUUCUUUUCUUCAUUUUUAGAUCUGAAACUGACCCGAUUUGGUGAGGACUUGGGGAGAAGAGGUGGUAGAUUGGGACUCAGGGAUGAAUGGUGGUUGUGUGGUUAAAUUUUUAUGGUGAUUUGAGCUCCGCCUCUAGCGAAAGAUGGUGAAACAUUCACGGCGCGGGUCUAGGGUUAGAGAUGAGGGAGAUAAAGUGAAGGGGUGCUUGGGAACUGACUUGUCUCUGGGGACUUGGACAGUCUUAAGCGAAAAUAG